AACGAACGCUGGCGGCAUGCCUAACACAUGCAAGUCGAACGAGACCUUCGGGUCUAGUGGCGCACGGGUGCGUAACGCGUGGGAACCUGCCCUUAGGUUCGGAAUAACUCCCCGAAAGGGGUGCUAAUACCGGAUAAUGUCUUCGGACCAAAGAUUUAUCGCCGUUGGAUGGGCCCGCGUUGGAUUAGCUAGUUGGUAGGGUAAAAGCCUACCAAGGCGACGAUCCAUAGCUGGUCUGAGAGGAUGAUCCGCCACACUGGGACUGAGACACGGCCCAGACUCCUACGGGAGGCAGCAGUGGGCAAUAUUGGACAAUGGGCGAAGGCCUGAUCCAGCAAUGCCUCGUGAGUGAUGAAGGCCUUAGGGUUGUAAAGCUCUUUUACCCCGGAUGAUAAUGACCGUACCGGGAGAAUAAGCUCCGGCUAACUCCGUG
rnacentral:rRNA from 1 species